CCUUUCCUCCCUUCCCUUCACAGGUUGCCCCAUAGUGACCCUGGAGACUCCCGCCUGCCCCCAGUGAAGGAAUUGGUUACUCUCCCAGAGCCCUCCCGGGCAUCGCCCCCUUCCUCACUUCCUCCUCUUCCUGCCCCCAGCCUCUACCCCUCCAGCCUCCUGUGGCUUCACAGGCAAGUGCCGCAUCCCAGGAAGAAGGAGUUGGAGCUCCGUGAUGCCAUUCAAAAACAGAUGAGAUGGGGACAGAUUUAACCCAAAGGACAUAGUUCAACUCCUGGUCUUGACAGAGGAGAAGCCCUCAAAGCCUCUCUCAAUUGCCUUCUCAGCUUGUAUGCUUUGAAGAAGCAAGCUGCAGUGUUGGAGAGGCCCAUGUGGCAAGGAAAUGAGGGUGGCCUCCAGUCAAUGGCUGGUGAGAAACUGAGACCUUCCUUCCAACAAUUGUCAAGUAACUGAAUACUCCCAACAAUCAUAUGGGUUAGGUUAGAAGUGAACCUUUCUCUAGUUGAGGUUUCAGAUAAGACCACAGAUAUUAUACUAA
rnacentral:lncRNA from 10 species